rnacentral:rRNA from 1 species
UACGUAGGAGGCAAGCGUUAUCCGGAUUUAUUGGGCGUAAAGCGAGCGUAGGCGGCUUUUCAAGUCGGAUGUAAAAUCUCCCGGCUCAACUGGGAGGGCGCAUUCGAUACUGUUGGGCUAGAGGGCAGCAGAGGAAGACGGAAUUCCCGGUGUAGUGGUGAAAUGCGUAGAUAUCGGGAGGAACACCAGUGGCGAAGGCGGUCUUCUGGGCUGUUUCUGACGCUGAGGCUCAAAAGCGUGGGGAGCGAACAGGAUUAGAUACCCUCGUA